UACGAAGGGGGCUAGCGUUGCUCGGAAUCACUGGGCGUAAAGCGCACGUAGGCGGACUCUUAAGUCGGUGGUGAAAUCCUGGAGCUCAACUCCAGAACUGCCUUCGAUACUGUCGUGACUCGAGUCCGGUAGGGGAGUGUGGAAUUCCCGGUGUAGCGGUGAAAUGCGCAGAUAUCAGGAAGAACACCCGUGGCGAAGGCGGCUCUCUGGGACGGUACUGACGCUGAGACGCGAAAGCGUGGGGAGCGAACAGG
rnacentral:rRNA from 1 species